rnacentral:misc_RNA from 1 species
AACCAUAGAAACCUGCGGAGUACCUGCGGAAGGAUCAUUAAAGAUUGACCGAAAGGUCUUAUCUCUAUAUCCCUCACCUCUGUGAACUGUGGACCUCCGGGUCUAUUUAACAAACAUCAGUGUAAUGAACGUAUAUAUCAUUAAACAAAACAAAACUUUCAGCAACGGAUCU